rnacentral:rRNA from 1 species
AGUCCCGCAACGAAGCGCACCCUUUGUCCUUAAGUUGCCAUCAUUCAGUUGGGCACUCUAAGGAGACUGCCGUAAAAUACGGAGGAGGGUGGGGAUGACGUCAAAUCAUCAUGCCCCUUAUGACCUGGGCUACACACGUGCUACAAUGGACGGUACAAACGGUCGCGAAGUCGCGAGACGGAGCCAAUCCGAAAAAACCGUUCUCAGUUCGGAUUGCAGGCUGCAACUCGCCUGCAUGAAGCCGGAAUCGCUAGUAAUCGCGGAUCAGCAUGCCGCGGUGAAUACGUUCCCGGGCCUUGUC